AACGAACGCUGGCGGCAGGCUUAACACAUGCAAGUCGAACGCAUCCUUCGGGGUGAGUGGCAGACGGGUGAGUAACGCGUGGGAACGUGCCCUUCAGUUCGGGAUAACCCAGGGAAACUUGGGCUAAUACCGGAUACGUGCGAGAGCAGAAAGAUUUAUCGCUGAAGGAUCGGCCCGCGUCUGAUUAGCUAGUUGGUGGGGUAAUGGCCCACCAAGGCGACGAUCAGUAGCUGGUCUGAGAGGAUGAUCAGCCACAUUGGGACUGAGACACGGCCCAAACGCCUACGGGAGGCAGCAGUGGGGAAUAUUGGACAAUGGGCGCAAGCCUGAUCCAGCCAUGCCGCGUGAGUGAUGAAGGCCUUAGGGUUGUAAAGCUCUUUCGUCCGGGACGAUGAUGACGGUACCGGAAGAAGAAGCCCCGGCUAACUUCGUGCCAGCAGCCGCAGUAA
rnacentral:rRNA from 1 species